rfam:Haemonchus contortus, ISE/inbred ISE, WGS project CAVP01000000 data, contig: Hcontortus_9918
GGCCCAAAUUUGAAGUAGAGUAAAUUGGUAGGAUCAGAUGACCAUACCAAUCUACUCUACUUCAAGUUUGUGUCC